UACGUAGGAGGCAAGCGUUGUCCGGAAUUACUGGGCGUAAAGCGCGUGUAGGUGGUGGGACAAGUCUGCUGUGAAAGCGCCUGGCUUAACCGGGCGAGGUCGGCGGAAACUGCCUCACUGGAGGACGGUAGAGGGGGGUGGAAUUCCCGGUGUAGUGGUGAAAUGCGUAGAGAUCGGGAGGAACACCUGUGGCGAAGGCGGCCCCCUGGGCCGGCCCUGACACUGAGACGCGAAGGCAUGGGGAGCGAACGGG
rnacentral:rRNA from 1 species